rnacentral:rRNA from 1 species
UACGUCGGAUUAGCUAGUUGGUAGGGUAAUAGCCUACCAAGGCGACGAUCCGUAACUGGUCUGAGAGGACGAUCAGUCACACUGGAACUGAGACACGGUCCAGACUCCUACGGGAGGCAGCAGUGGGGAAUAUUGGACAAUGGGGGCAACCCUGAUCCAGCAAUGCCGCGUGUGCGAUGAAGGCCUGCGGGUUGUAAAGCACUUUCGGUGGGGAAGAAAUGCUCAAAGAUAAUCUCUUUGAGAGCUGACGUUACCCACAGAAGAAGCACCGGCAAACUCUGUGCCAGCAGCCGCGGUAAUACAGAGGGUGCAAGCGUUAAUCGGAGUUACUGGGCGUAAAGGGCGCGUAGGCGGAUAUUUAAGUCGGAUGUGAAAUCCCUGGGCUUAACCUAGGAAUUGCAUUCGAUACUGAGUACUCUUGAGUAUGGUAGAGGAAAGUGGAAUUCUCGGUGUAGUGGUAAAAUACGUAGAUAUCGAGAAGAACACCGGUGGCGAAGGCGGCUUUCUGGACCAAUACUGACGCUGAGGCGCGAAAGCGUGGGGAGCAAACAGGAUUAGAUACCCUGGUAGUCCACGCUGUAAACGAUGAGAACUGGGUGUUGGGGGGCGUGUCCCCUUAGUACCGAAGCUAACGCGUUAA